rnacentral:rRNA from 1 species
GAUGAACGCUGGCGGCGUGCUUAACACAUGCAAGUCGAGCGAAGCGCUUAAGUUUGAUUCUUCGGAUGAAGACUUUUGUGACUGAGCGGCGGACGGGUGAGUAACGCGUGGGUAACCUGCCUCAUACAGGGGGAUAACAGUUAGAAAUGACUGCUAAUACCGCAUAAGACCACGGUACCGCAUGGUACAGUGGUAAAAACUCCGGUGGUAUAAGAUGGACCCGCGUUGGAUUAGCUAGUUGGUGAGGUAACGGCCCACCAAGGCGACGAUCCAUAGCCGGCCUGAGAGGGUGAACGGCCACAUUGGGACUGAGACACGGCCCAGACUCCUACGGGAGGCAGCAGUGGGGAAUAUUGCACAAUGGGGGAAACCCUGAUGCAGCGACGCCGCGUGAAGGAAGAAGUAUCUCGGUAUGUAAACUUCUAUCAGCAGGGAAGAAAAUGACGGUACCUGACUAAGAAGCCCCGGCUAACUACGUGCCAGCAGCCGCGGUAAUACGUAGGGGGCAAGCGUUAUCCGGAUUUACUGGGUGUAAAGGGAGCGUAGACGGAUGGACAAGUCUGAUGUGAAAGGCUGGGGCUCAACCCCGGGACUGCAUUGGAAACUGCCCGUCUUGAGUGCCGGAGAGGUAAGCGGAAUUCCUAGUGUAGCGGUGAAAUGCGUAGAUAUUAGGAGGAACACCAGUGGCGAAGGCGGCUUACUGGACGGUAACUGACGUUGAGGCUCGAAAGCGUGGGGAGCAAACAGG